rnacentral:tRNA from 1 species
GCAGUGGUGGUUCAGUGGUAGAAUUAUUGCCUUCCAUGCUAGAGACCCUGGUUUGAGUCCUGGCCAGUGCC